rnacentral:rRNA from 1 species
UACAGAGGGUGCGAGCGUUAAUCGGAAUUACUGGGCGUAAAGCGCACGUAGGCGGCUUGGUAUGUCGGGUGUGAAAUCCCCGGGCUCAACCUGGGACGUGCAUUCGAUACUGUCGAGCUUGAAUGCGGGAGAGGGAAGCGGAAUUCCUGGUGUAGAGGUGAAAUUCGUAGAUAUCAGGAGGAACACCGGUGGCGAAAGCGGGUCUCUGGGCAACAACUGACGCUGAGGAGCGAAAGGCGUGGGGAGCGAACAGG